AUUAGUUUUGUGCGUUAUUCAAGUAUUAAAAUGUAGUAGAAUGCGGAUUGUGGAGGUUUCUUGUAUUGAGAGUAGGUAGCACUACACACCUUUCGAAAAGUUUCCAGUUCAUUCGAGUUUACAACUCGCAACAUAUUAAUAUAAGCCGCAACGAAUAACUUCGUCGCAUAGUUUGGCCCUAAAAUGUCCAAAAGUCCAACAGUGAAACAAAAUGUGAACAAAAAUGAGCUGCUGAAAGAAAGAAAAUCCCACGAUCAGAUUUAUCCGGCAGCCCAUCUGGGUCAUAAAUGUCCUAAAGGAAAAAUGCAAGAUAACGAGCCGACCAUCACUCUUUGGGCGGCGAACGGCGUUUUCUUUUGAAUUUUUUGGGUGUAUUCUUCGGCGGCAUUGCUAUUUAUGAAUGGAAAGUGAGUCACGAACAGGAAAGUAAUAUUUGGAACCACUCUGUCUGGUUAACAGGUAGGCAUAUGCUCAUCUUCAGCCGAAGAGAAAUUUGCUAAUGCGCGCGUGCCGAAAGUGGACUUAUCUGAUUUUGUCUUACAACAAUAAUACAAUCGCUAUUCAGUUGGUUUGCUUCGAGCAUGUUGACUGCCAAAGACUGAUUUUAAUUCCUGUCCACAUUUCCUGGUUAAUCGAUUUUAGGUAUAUUAACACGCACCAGAGAAACAUUUCCCAAAACUGUUUCACUGGGGGCAUUCGAAAUGAAGCAACAAUAAUUUAUCAUUGCGCUUCUGUUAUAUUGUUCUAAAUAAAUUAAUACUUGCGCAAGAUCUCCUUAUACUGGCUGGGCAGGUGAAACAACAUGAACAAUAGAUUUCGUCAAACCAGCGACUGGUGGCUGAUUAAAAUUAAUAAUCAAAAUUUGCUGUGAAUUGCGACGAAAAGAAAAUGCAAUCUGGCCUUAUACGACGCUCGUCUCACUGGCUUUAUUAGCACCACUUUGACCACUUUCUAACAAGAUUACAGACACCAUCGACAAGGCCUGCGGCAGCAGCACUCGAACGAAACCAGAAGGCCUUUUUGGAAUGCAGUUUGUGUUGGCUGCGUCGACACGCCGCAAAAACUAUUUGGUUUCACAUCUUUGUACCAAAGAGUAUUAGAAAUGAAAAUUAUAAACGCUCGCCUCUAAGCUGCUUCUUCAGCUUCUAGUCGCCUCAACAUCUAAUGUAGGUAUUUCUAAUACAAAGAACCACUCACCUGAUUC